rnacentral:tRNA from 1 species
GUGGGUUGUGACUCAGCGGUAGAGUGCUUGCCUAGCAUGUGUGAGGCCCUGGGUUCAAUCCUCAGCACCACA